rnacentral:rRNA from 1 species
AGAGUUUGAUCCUGGCUCAGGACGAACGCUGGCGGCGCGCCUAACACAUGCAAGUCGAACGAGCGAGAGAGAGCUUGCUUUCUCGAGCGAGUGGCGAACGGGUGAGUAACGCGUGAGGAACCUGCCUCAAAGAGGGGGACAACAGUUGGAAACGACUGCUAAUACCGCAUAAGCCCACGACCCGGCAUCGGGUAGAGGGAAAAGGAGCAAUCCGCUUUGAGAUGGCCUCGCGUCCGAUUAGCUAGUUGGUGAGGUAACGGCCCACCAAGGCGACGAUCGGUAGCCGGACUGAGAGGUUGAACGGCCACAUUGGGACUGAGACACGGCCCAGACUCCUACGGGAGGCAGCAGUGGGGAAUAUUGCACAAUGGGGGAAACCCUGAUGCAGCGACGCCGCGUGGAGGAAGAAGGUCUUCGGAUUGUAAACUCCUGUUGUUGAGGAAGAUAAUGACGGUACUCAACAAGGAAGUGACGGCUAACUACGUGCCAGCAGCCGCGGUAAAACGUAGGUCACAAGCGUUGUCCGGAAUUACUGGGUGUAAAGGGAGCGCAGGCGGGAAGACAAGUUGGAAGUGAAAUCCAUGGGCUCAACCCAUGAACUGCUUUCAAAACUGUUUUUCUUGAGUAGUGCAGAGGUAGGCGGAAUUCCCGGUGUAGCGGUGGAAUGCGUAGAUAUCGGGAGGAACACCAGUGGCGAAGGCGGCCUACUGGGCACCAACUGACGCUGAGGCUCGAAAGCAUGGGUAGCAAACAGGAUUAGAUACCCUGGUAGUCCAUGCCGUAAACG